CGUUGUGUUAUAAAGUCGGUGCGUCUGAAGGCUUGAAGGUGGCUUAUUCCUCCACCCACCCGACUUCUUCUCCGGCCGUCAGAGAAUUCCCACACCCUCGCAAACCCGACCGUAACCCUAAUUCCUUCUCCGAUCACUCCUCCGCCCCUCCUCUCCCAUGGCGUCCUCCUCGUCUUCCUUCGAGAGCGGCGGGGACGAGGCCUUCGACGACGACAUGGAGGCCCUGAGGAGGGCCUGCAUGCUCACCGGCGCCGAUCCCGCCGCCGUCAACGACUCCGACUCAGAUUCCGGCGGCGAGAGCAGCAGCACCGACGACGUCGAUCUCCUUCGCCGCCUCCAGGAGCGGUUCUCUGUUCCCUCCUCGGAUGCCGAUUCCUUGCCCUUCAUCAAACCCCUGAGCUCUCGCCCGCUGCCCGAAUCCGAUGAGGAGGAUGAUUUCGAAACUCUUCGUGCCAUCCAGAGGAGGUUCACUCAGUAUGAUAGCGAUGCUCAGAAAAAGAAAUCUGAGAACUUUGUACAAGAUACUGAGAUGAUUGUUGCUGAUGUGACAUCUGAGCGAGAAACUCGUAAUAUAGUGCCCAAGAAUAGUGAUUCUGGUUUCACUGAACAUGCAGAGAAUGAAUCAUAUAGUGUAAAUUUUGGGGGUUUCAUUCAAUCACAGUUCCCAAAGUCUGCACAGUUCUUUGUUGAUGCCCUCAAGAAGAACAGGUCAUGCCAGAAAUUUAUUAGGAGGAAGCUGAUAGAAAUUGAAGCAAAGAUUGAAGAAAAUAAGGAACUGAAAGAACGUCUUAAAUGUCUUAUGGACUUUCAAGUUGUCUGCAAAAAGAAAGCAGGGCAUAUAUCGAGUCAGAAGAAGGAUCCUCGUGGCAGGCUAAUUUCCAUGCAAAAGUCAAGGAAAGUGAAAGAUUCCAAGGCCAGCUAUAAGAAGGUUCGUGCCUUAUAUUUUGGCCCAGCUGAGAACUCCCAUGUUUCUAAAUUUAAGAUGGUACUUAAGAGAUUCCCAGUCUCACUUAGAAAACAAAAAUGGUCAAACAUGGAAAAGGAGAAACUUGCAAAGGGUUUAAAGCAACAGUAUCAAGAGAUGCUCAUUUUGAAUUCGAUGAAUUUUGAGAGUGAUGUCGAUUCAAAUUUAAUGUCUGGAUUAUCAAGCAGUGAUCUUGAUGUCACCCCAGAAAAAAUUAGAUCUUUCUUACCAUUAGUCAAUUGGGAUCGGUUGGCUUCUAUGUAUGUCCCAGGCCGUUCUGGUGAAGAGUGUGAAGCUAGGUGGUUGAACUGUGAAGAUCCAAUGAUUAAUCACAACCCAUGGACCAUACUGGAGGAUAAGAAGGUUUUAUUUGUUGUCCAGGAAAGAGGGAUUUAUAAUUGGAUUGAUAUUUCAGUUGCACUGGGAUCGCAUAGAACUCCCUUUCAGUGCCUUGCACGUUACCAACGGAGUCUUAAUCCUCAUAUUCUGAACAAGGACUGGACAGAAGAUGAAGAUGCUAAACUUCAUGCGGCUGUAGAAAGUUUUGGUGAUAAUAACUGGCAGAUUGUAUCCUCUAAUCUAGAAGGCCGCACAGGUCCUCAAUGUUCUAAUAGGUGGAGAAAAUCCCUGAACCCUGAUAGGAGAAAGGUGGGGAGGUGGUCUGUGGAUGAGGACAAGCGUCUCAAAGUAGCAGUAAUGCUUUUUGGGGCCAAAAAUUGGAAUAAGAUAGCUCAGUUUGCCCCUGGUCGGACACAGGUUCAAUGCAGAGAAAGAUGGCUUAAUUGUCUAGAUCCAUCUUUAAAUCUGAAAGGAUGGACUGAGGAAGAAGAUGCCAAGCUAUUGGCAGCAAUAGCUGAACAUGGGUAUUGUUGGUCCAAGAUUGCAACUUUUGUGCCUCCACGUACUGAUAGCCAGUGUAGGAGGAGAUGGAAGGUUUUACUUCCUCAUGAGGUGCCAUUACUCCAAGCUGCUAGGAAGAUGAAGAGAACCGUUCUUAUAUCCAAUUUUGUGGAUCGGGAGAGUGAACGACCGGCAAUUGGUCCCAAUGACUUUAGGCCAGUUGUCAAUUUUUCAGAGGCUGAAAAUACUGAUAGUAUGGGACCUAGAAAGAAAAGACCAAGUGAUAAUCAACCCAAGAAGUCUAGGGUUAAGUCCAAGAGAUCUCUUAAAGAGAAUUCAACAGCAGAUGGUGUGAUAAGUUCUACUGAAACAAUUCUUUCUGACUCAGCUUUGGUUUGUAGCAAAAAUUUUAAUACUGCUGAAGGUGGGAUUAAGAGGUCAAGGAAGAAAAAGAUCAAGUGACAACAAACCUAAGAAGUUGAGAGCUAAAUCAACAUCUGUUAAAGAAAAUGCAAUAGCAGAUGGGAUGGCCAAUUCUUCUGCUGAUAUAGUUCCUGGUGACAAUUCUCUUGUGCAUAUUGUAAAUUAUACUACUGCUGAAAGUGGGAGAAUUAAGAGGACAAGGAAGAUGAUGCCAAGUACUGCUGAGUGUUGGGGGAAAGGAAGGAAUCAAAAGACAGCAGAGAGAACAUUGAGGUAUUACGGACUAAGGCACUUCACUUCUUGCCUUGCACUGUAUAAUAUCCCAACACAAUUUCCUUUUUGGUGUUUAUUUUUGAUAUUGUAGUUGUAAUCAACCCAGGAAGUCUAAACCUAAAUCCAGGUCUCCUGAAGAAAACAAAACAGCAGUUGGCAUGGUGUUAAAUUCUUCUUCUGAAAUUGUUCCUUCUGAGGCAUCUCUUGUACCUAUUGUAAAAUCUGAUAAUGCUGGAAAUGGGAACAUUAGAAAGACAAUGAAGAAAACCUAAAGGUAAGGCAUUACAGUUUGAGCCUUUAAGACACUUCAUUUUGUUUCGUCCACCAAAAUAUAUUGGACUCAACACACUGAUUUAUUUUCUUGGGAAACCCUGACUUUUAAUGCACAGAGGAGGACCAGAAGCUAAGACUCAAAAGAAAGUCUACUCGUAAGUUUAGCUUGAGUGCUAUCCAUCUCGUUGAUUAUUACUGUAUGGAAGUGUGAUGCCAGAAAGAGGAAAGAGAUGUUUGAGAGAAAAUUAAGUGACAAUAUGGUGAAUUAUCCUGAUGCUGAACAACAGUUCACCUGUUUCAAGGUUAGAGUCUCCAGCUGUUGGAAUUAGGAGUAGUGAGAGGAUAAGAAAUCAGAGAUUAAGGAACAACAGCUAGUAAUGACAGGGCAAACUCUGGGUAAGUCAGCCUCAAAUUCUUUCUUUCUUUAUUGUCUUUUGAUCUCUAUGGUUCCUUCCAUCAGUAUAAUGGAAGGAAAUUCAAAUGCCUAUAUUUUUGCAAUAAUUAGCUAGCUGUUUACCUUUUUGGCAUUGGUUUUGCUUGAUUUAUAGUAAGAAUUUCAGAACAAGUUGCCCCAGCCCUAGGGCAGAAAGAAAAAGAUCUCGAGUAGAAUGUUCGUUGACUGAUGGUAUCAUAAGAGGCAAUAUUAUCAUUUCCAAGGAGAAGAAAGGAUCAUCAAAUACGAUUUCUGAAAAGCCUAUUUUUAUUAAAUUAGGAGAGGCUGACAAGGUAUUUUGUCGGCUGGAAAGUACUUGAUAACAUAGGAACUGGUGCUGCUUCUGAGGGUGAAACAAACACUGGCCAAGUUUCCCAAUCAAAUACAGUGAAAGAAAUUCACUGUGAACAAGAUAGUAGACCUGCAGACUAUGGUACAUUGCUUGUUCCUACAUCACAAGGUGAAAAGAAGAUGGGAAUGCUUGGAUAAUCACGUUGUAGCUCAGAAUGUUGAGGACUUUUUUGAGACUAAUGGCUAAGGUUGGCGGAACCAUCCCGAACCGGGCGGUUCCAGCUGACUCGAGCCAUACCGGUGGCUCACCGGUACGGUUCCGACAACAAAAACAAGACCUAUUGCCGGAGUCAGAGAAGAAGGAAAGAGAGAGCGAGCGGGGGAGGGAGAGAGAGAGAGAGAGAGAGGUGGCGGAGGGCCGUGGGGGGUUGGCAGAAGCCACGGCCGGUUCUCCUGUUUUGUUUGAAACAGAGGAAUUGGCCGUGGCCUCCGCCGGCCCUUCGUUCGAAAUUGAGAAACCGGCCGCGGCCUCUGCCAGCCCUUCGUUCGAAACAGAGGAAUCGGCCAUGGCCUCGCCUGCCGCAACCUCCGCCGGCCCUUCAAAAGAGAAAAACUGGCCGCAGCCUCUGCGGUCCCCCCCGCGGCCUCCACUGCCCUCUCGCGACCCUUCGUCGGCAUCUCCUACCUCUCCCUCCCCCUCUCCCCCUUUUUUUUUUCUCUCUCUCUCUCUCUCUCUAUCUCUCUCUUUUUCUCUCUCCCAUGGCACUGAUAAUCUCUCUUGGUACAGGCUCGACACGGCCCAUACCGGGUCAUCCCACCGGAGAACCGGUACGGUGCCCGGUACUGGUUCCUCCGACGUUGCUAAUGGCAUUGAGAAAAUGACAAAAAAUGGCCUAAGAUAACAUGAGGUGGAUGAAAGUACUCAGUCAGCUGACUGCCACCAAGCUCUGGAACAUCUAAACAAUUCAGCUUUUGAGAGUGCAGAUUGUUGUGGUAUUGUUGUUGAUGGUGGCAAGUCUACUGAACCCUGCCAAUUAAAGAAAAGCAUUUCUUGUUGUGAAUAAGUAAAUGGGAACAUGCACAAAGGUUGGAAGUCGUGUCAAUUUAUCUGCAAAUGGAAUCCGAGAUUACUUAAUGAACUUGGAACAUAUGGAUCUGUAAACAUUACGCAAUGACCUGAGCCAACAGAUUGAUUGGUGAGGAUCACGAGACAGAUCUCAGUUCUGAGCGUUCUAAAAAUGCACUAUGUGUACGCUACUUGGAUUUUGAAACAUUAGUCUCUUUGCAGGUUUGAUGACGGUUAUCUUGGUGGCAAAAAUAUAUGACCAUGUAUUUUAAUUGAUCAACUGAUGAUGAGAGUUGUCCUAGCCCUUUUUCUGUGGGGUAGAAGCACAAAAGCUUCAUCUUCACAAAUGGGGCCUAGGUAGAGCACUUCCUACUGGUCUAUUGUCACUUUGUUCUAAUCAUUUUAGUGAUGCUAGAGAGUCAGUUGCUUCAUUAUAAUUAGUUAGCCAGGCUCUGUUUUCUCCUCAUAUAAAGGGUAGCUGCAUCUAAAUUGAUAUUUCCUAGUCAUUGCAUGCAGAGAGGGUUUUGGAGGGCCCUUGACAUAACACUCUGUCAAGGCAAUCCAGCUGCCAGACUAAUAGUGGAUUUUUGGUGGUGAUUGGAGGUGCACAUGGAGCUCACAAAGAUAGCAGACUCACAGAGGCAAUGUGAAAGAAUACACGGGUUGAGAUAAAAUACUAGCAGAAGAUUUACAGUCUGUUAGAAACUGCCGAUAAAGGGUGAAAGAAAAAAAGGAAUUUGUAAUACUCUUGGACUUGAUGUUGCUAUAUUUAAAUGACUUUUGUGGCUGACUGCCUUACAAAGGAAAAAAUACAAGAAUAUAAAAAGGAAAAUAAUUGACACGAUUGUCCAUUUUUUUGUCUGCUGUUUAACCUUUUGUUUUACUCCAAUGUAUUUUUAACAUGCAUUUCUCUUUUGUGCCAUGUUUCUUUUUCAACACUAUCACUAAUAUUUGCUAUGACGCUGGGAAAAUUAAUUUGGCAGCUACAAUUAUCAUGAGUAGAUUAUGGCACGCACUCGAAAAUAGGACAAGGGGAUAGAAGGUAGCAAGUCAAUGCAUGAAUGGCGUGAAGCCUCGUACAAGCAGGAGUUGAGUUUAGUGGUGUGGUAUAUUAUGAAUUGUGUGUGGGUCUAUUGAACCUCAGGCCUGCCGGCGGAGGUGGCCUAAGCUGUACAGUGAGCUUUAAAGUAUAUGUUCAAAAAUGUCUAAUAUGCUCAAACUUUACAUAUUUGUCUCAGUUGUAACUUUGUUUGGUGAAAAUUGGACAGGGGCUUAUGUGUUGAUGAACUGCAGAUAUCCUGGAUAGGUGGACAGUUCAGUCUGUUUACCCCUGGGAACCAACUUACAAGUUUUGUACUUCAACCGAUGAAAAAAAAAUCAUACUUACAUUGAAGUGACUCAUGUAA